rnacentral:rRNA from 1 species
GACGAACGCUGGCGGCGUGCUUAACACAUGCAAGUCGAACGGACAGGCCCUGCUUUUGUUGCUUGCUCGAUUGUCGCACGGGUGAGUAACACGUGAGUAACCUGCCCUUGUCUUUGUGAUAACUUCACGAAACUCGGGCUCAUACCCCAUAUGAUCUCCUGCUGCAUGUUGUUCGUUGGAAAGUUUCGGCUGUUGGGGAUGGACUCGCGGCUUAUCCGCUUGUUUGUGUGGUAGUUGCUUGCCAAGGCUUUGACGGGUAGCCGGCCUGAGAGGGGUAACGGAGACAAUGGGACUGAGAGACGGCCCAGAAGCGUAAGGGAGGCAGCAGGGGGGAAUAUGGCAGAAUGGGGGGAAGCGUGAGGCAGAAACGCCGGGUGCGGGAUGAUGGCCUUCGGGGUGUAAACAGAUUUGGAAGGUGACGAAGAGGGAGUGACGGUAAUGGGUAAAGAAGCAACGGCUAACUACGUG